GUGCCCGUGGUGAAAAGGAUAUCACGUAGGCCUCCGGAGCCUAAAGUCGGGGUUCGAUUCCCUGCGGGCACACCA
rnacentral:tRNA from 1 species